GACGAACGCUGGCGGCGUGCUUAAUACAUGCAAGUCGAACGGAAAGGCCCUGCUUUUGUGGGGUGUUCGAGUGGCGAACGGGCGAGUAACACGUGAGUAACCUGCCCUUGACUUUGGGAUAACUUCAGGAAACUGGGGCUAAUACCGGAUAGGAGCUCCUGCCGCAUGGUGGGGGUUGGAAAGUUUCGGCGGUUCGGGAUGGACUCGCGGCUUAUCAGCUUGUUGGUGGGGUAGUGGCUUACCAAGGCUUUGACGGGUAGCCGGCCUGGGAGGGUGACCGGGGACAUAGGGACUGAGGGACGGACCAGAAGGGAACGGGAGGCAGCGGAGGGGAAUAUUGCAGAGUGGGCGGAAGCGUGAUGCAGCAACGCCGCGUGCGUGAUGCAGGCCUUCGGGUGAUAAACCGCUUUCGCAUGUGACGAAGCGUGAGUGACGGUAAUGGGUAAAGAAGCACCGGCUAACUACGUG
rnacentral:rRNA from 1 species